rnacentral:misc_RNA from 1 species
UUGGAAUGAGUGGUUCACCCAACUUAUUUCCCUCUCAACCAUCCACGACACUCCCACUUGCAUAGAGUUACACACAAAUUAGGGUUGAUGGUCUCUUGUAGUUUUGAUUAUUUGAUGCCUCAUCACAUAGAAGCAAAAACGAGGACGGGGAUCUGUGAUGAGGGAACUGCCUAAGAGACCUCUCAUCCACCACUGCCCCCCCCUAAGACAAAAGAACUAUGACGAAUGCUGCUCUGGUGUUCACUCUAUGUAUUCUAAGCAUUUUGGGAGGUGUAAUUAUCUGCGGUAUUUACAUAGCAGUACGAGAGUGUAAGAAAUAUCGUGUUCGUCUUGGAGAGGAUAACCGUGACGCCACUGUUCAAACUGGUAAUUUGAUCCUUGCAUUAGCCACUUCCUCCGUCUUUUCAAAUGACUUGGAAGGAGGGGGAGGGGGCCAGGGGAGUACUGAGCGUCAAAAAGUGAGGGACAAUGAAAUUAGAUCUAGUGAUUUUAAUAAUACAACAAGUGAUCAUCAUACAAGUGACUAUAAGUCAUCAAUACAGCAUCUCUCUGUGGAAGCACAAAGGAGUACUCAAAGUGGAUCUCCUGCUCCUUCGCCAUACCAUAGACAGUUAAGAAAGCUCUCAAAUUGUGAUGUCGAAGAAGAAGAGGUAUAUAGUGAGGAAUCGGAUGAAGAUUCGAGGGACGAAGAGGAUGCGGCUGUAGUUUAAGUCAAUUAUUCUCAAAGUUUAAGGUAUGUAUCUAUUUACAUUCGCAGCUGCUAUAAAAAAAAUCAUCUAAUGGAUCUUCAUUGGAUCAACAGGUUGCUAUUCACAACAGUCCUUCACACAAGAGCCAGCAUAUACAGAAGUGAAUCCAGAGGCGGACACGGAACUCAUUUGUUUAGUAC